rnacentral:piRNA from 1 species
UACUUUUUGANAGAAGGCCCUAUCAGUAAGU